rnacentral:rRNA from 1 species
AUACGGAGGGUGCAAGCGUUACUCGGAAUCACUGGGCGUAAAGCGCGCGCAGGCGGUCUUUUAAGUUGGAUGUGAAAGCCUACGGCUCAACCGUAGAACUGCAUCCAAAACUAUUAGACUAGAGUGUGGGAGAGGAAGAUGGAAUUAGUUGUGUAGGGGUAAAAUCCGUAGAGAUAACUAGGAAUACCAAAAGCGAAGGCAAUCUUCUGGAACACUACUGACGCUGAGGCGCGAAAGCGUGGGGAGCAAACAGGAUUAGAUACCCUUGUAGUCC